CCCUAACCCUAACGUAUUCAGACGGCUUGCUGCUCGUCUUUAUCUGUAGUAGUGUGGAGUUUUUCCGACCGUGCUUUCUCCACACGUAUCUACGGGGUGUUAAAAAAUAAAAAAAGCACCGGGCUGGGAGUGAGUUCAUUGAAGACAUUUCUAAACGUGAAAGCAUGCUCCAUGUUCGGUUGAUGUCGGAGUCGCUUGGCAGCGUUGUUUUGAAACUAAAGCAUUGAGGGUCGCUCCCUCAUUGUUGCUUUAGUCAAGGGUUAGUCCCUGUUCAUUUCAUCGUCUGCUGAGCACGUUCUGAUGACUAUCAUCCUUGCAAAUGGGCGAGAACAAAGUCGUGUUGUGAUUUCAGAUUUGUGCAAUGGCUGAGUUCGCCUUGUGCAUACUGUUUCACAACCAACAAAC
rnacentral:telomerase_RNA from 1 species